CUCCUCUCAGAGUCACACCUGGAGAGUUUCCAGUACUCUACCAGUCUCAAUUACAGGAGGGAGAGUCAAGCAAACAUAUACCCAUUCCAUUCCUAUCUUGGGCAGUGGCUAGUGAGUGGAAGGCAAUCUGUUACAAGU
rnacentral:snoRNA from 1 species